UCUCUUCUAGGGGGCGGGCAGCGAUACGGAGGAAGAGUGGCAGACAGCCGAAGAGGGGGAGACAGCUGAAGAGUGACAAAUGAUGGAGAAGUGGGAGGAUGGGGACAUGGAGAAGGAGGAAUGGGAGGGGAUGGAGGAUACUUGAGGUGGUGGUGGAGGAGACGGUGGAUAAUCAGAGAUGGAGGAGCUGGAGGUGGUAGAGGAGCUUGAGAUGGUAUAGGAGGAGCUGGAGGUGGUGAAGGAGACAGAUGGCGAUGGUGGAGCAGGAGACGGAGGAGCUGGAGCCCCACCCAAAGCAGCUGUUGGGAGAGCUGAGCAGGGAGGUGACCCGGACUGCGACCAUCAACCGUCCAGUGCGCGCAUGCCCCUCGUCAGCAAUUCGCCCGAAGGGCAAUAUCUUGGUCAAGGACCCCAUGGCUGGGACCGUGCGGGUAACAGACUUUGGUUGCAGCUUCCAUGAGACUUCUC